UCCACGCCGUAAACGAUGUCAACUAGCCGUUGGGAGACUUGAUCUUUUAGUGGCGAAGCUAACGCGAUAAGUUGACCGCCUGGGGAGUACGGACGCAAGUUUAAAACUCAAAUGAAUUGACGGGGGCCCGCACAAGCGGUGGAGCAUGUGGUUUAAUUCGAUGCAACGCGAAGAACCUUACCAAUCCUUGACAUCCUGCGAAUUUUUUAGAAAUAGAGAAGUGCCUUCGGGAA
rnacentral:rRNA from 1 species